CGGUCGCUCUAUCUUUCUUCUUGCCUCUACUCCAAUCCUCCCUCAUCCUCUAUGCAAAUCACAUCACCCGACUUCUUGCUUGAUUUCCCGUCUCAGAUUCUCAACACCUUAAACAUGAGGCCGAAGAUGGUAAAAAAAGAAGAGACAGAGAGUGGUGGAGUAAUAGAAGUCGGUCACGGUCUCCGGCUGGCUGUUCUAUUCCGACCAUUGGCAUCUACGGUGACAAGGAAAAAGAUGCGGUCUUGAGAAGAUGUGGAGACAGAAUCGCCGAUUAUUGUACUCUCUUGCUAAUGUAAGUCUACUUCAUUUUGUUAAUUCUUAUGAAUCUUUCAUUACAUAUUUCAAUUUGUUAAUUUCUUAUGUCGGACAUGGGAUUCUGUUUGUUUGAUCGAGGAUCAUGGACUCAAGCAUUUUCUUUAAUCGAGUUUAUAGGCAGUGAAGCUUCACUCGAGUUUAUAGAGCUCUAGAGUCGAAAUCACUCAAGCAGACAAGAGCAAUUCAGCAGUCAAAUUGUUACCAUGAACACGUGCACGAAACAACUUGUGAAGUAAGUUUUUCUUUAAAUCAAUUUAGAGUGGAUGAAUUUACAUGUCUUUUCACAUUAGUAAUCUUAGUAUAUAUGAAAAAAUUGCGCCUCAUAUGACCUUGAGAUGCAAGGCGACCGAAGAUGCGGGAAUGCCACACCAGGGGUGGUGAUGUGUAGUGUUUUUCAGAAGAUAGUGUUGAGAUUGUGAUUUAGGCUUGAGGUGCCCACAUUGCGUGAGUUGUUAUGCAAUAGAGAUAAAAGAAAAAGGGCUAGGAGAUGUGGAUUUUAUACACAGUCAUGACAUGUUAGUGUUGUAAACUGCUAUUAUGAGAUUUGAUUAAUUUUGCAUCCGUGUUUGUUCAA